AUAGUGUGUACAGUGUGUAGUGUGUACAGUGUGUGUAGUGUGUAUAGUGUAUACAGUGCAUAGUGUGUACAGUGUGUACAGUGUGUAUAGUGUGUAUAGUGUGUACAGUGUGUAUAGUGUGUACAGUGUGUACAGUGUGUUGUAUACAGUGUGUAUAGUGUGUACAGUGUGUACAGUGUGUACAGUGUGUUGUGUACAGUGUGUAUAGUGUGUAUAGUGUGAACAGUGUGUAUAGUGUGCAUAGUGUGUAUAGUGUGUAUAGUGCGGGGUGUGUACAGUGUGCAGGGGGUGUGUGUGCAUCUGUGUGCACUGCCCC